rnacentral:lncRNA from 1 species
CAACACACACGCGCGCACACACAAAGCGCAGCAGGUUCAACACUAGCUACAAUCACAAGUAGGCAGCAAUGGCGAGGCAUCGCCUCCUCGCCGUGCUCCUCAUCGGCAUAGUUGCAGCCUCCGCCUUCAACCAAGCAGCUGUGGCUGGCCGAGGCCUUGCUGCCAUCGAGAAGUUUGCAGAGCUAGAGCCAAAGCCAGAACCUAAACAAGAGCUAAUGCCCAAACCUAUGCCACACACAGAGCCAGAGCCAUGCAAACCUGAACCGACGCCCAAACCCAAACCAAAGCCCGAACAAAAGCCUGGACAUAAGCCUGAGCCAGAACCCAAGCCCAAGCCGAUGCCAAAACCGAAGCCCGAGCCCUGCUCCAAACCAAAGCUGGUGCCAAAACCCGAACCAAAGCCAGAGCCCAAGCCUGAACCUGAACCGAAACCGAAGCCGCCUCCAAAGUGCAAACCACCGACAACGCACAAUUGAUGGGAUGCUUAUAUAUGAGAGUUGAUGGAGGAGACCCCGCACGGAGCCACACUGUGCUAUUUCUAGAAUAAGUGGUGUAGUACUCCUUGUAUUCCAUUUCUUUCUAUUUUUCCAUGCAGAGUACGUACUAGUACUCUGUAAUUACUAUUUGCUUGUUGGUAUAUGUUCAUCUACUUUGUAUGUGACUGACUCGUUGUUCUUUUGAGUAUCUACGCAUGAUUGUAUUCAUUCACAUCAAUGAGCUAUUUCGUUAGUGGACUGCAGUCUAUGUUGUUUUCUCUAUGGGGUUGUUUCAUAUUAUGUGGUCUUUUUUGGGGGGAAAGACGAUGUCAACAAAAAAGAAGAAAAUGACUCCCUAAAUAGCAGCACACAUAUGAAGUGUAUAGUGUGCGCGUACGUGCCUGGUGUUCUAGAUGUAUAAAGUGUACUCACACGCAAGACAACAGCCUUGUUCUCUACCCUUCACCUAUGAGCUAAGUCCCGACCGUGUGCGUUAGUAUUUAUGCCCAGGCUGACUCCGCUGCUGGUUAUACUAGCUAAACUUUGCACACAUUGCUACGAAAAUUUAUAGCAAUGAAAUUUUGAAAACUAGCAUAUAUGGGGAUAAUACUACACAACAUUCUCACCAUAUGUCAAUGAAAACCUACAUGUAAUGGAGGGUGGAUGCAUUUUAUAUUGUCUUGUGACCUUAUAGUUUAAUUAUUUCUUGCUGAACAUAAAUAGUAAAAAAUAAUGAGGUGAAGAGCUUUCAUGUGUUUGAUGAUGUGGAGGACUUGCAUAUGAUGAAAAGUGAAAAGUUGAAUGAUUACAUGCACGCUUGAUGAUAUGGAGGACUUGCCUGUGAUGAAAAGUGGUAAGUGAAAGUUUAUUGGCUGCAUGCCCUUCAUAAUGUGAUUGACAUGCAUGUGUAUUUAAAUGGGAUGACUUACUUAGAUACUAUAUAGGAUAUGUUUGAAAGAUAACUACACCCCCUAGGUCAAGAUUACCAAGAAAAACACCAUGGAAAUUAUUAUUAAUAGAUUUUCUCUUACUCAAUUCGCAACAAGAAAAAACACUCAACGACAAUGCUAUGCAACAUAAGAGAGACCACAAUAAUCUCUCACCCACCCCAUGGUACUGCCAGGGUAGGCUCUAUGAUUUUAAGAGCCCUUGGGUGAAGUUGGCGAAUUGAUCAUCCUUAUUUUUUCCUUUUUCAACACUCAACAAAUCUUUUUUAAGAAACAUUAUAGUAACCCUAAAACUGACGAGGAAAGUAAAUACAUAAAUUGAACUUUGAAAUUAGAGGUCUAACAUUUAACAUGCUUCGAGGAAUGGGUGGCACUGAUAAUAUGGCUAUGGAUGCAUGCAAUGAGAGAUCUAGAGAGUGACAAGCUCGUGCCUUGUUGUCCUUGACGUAUGAGGAGGCGGCGAGACUCACGUCGUCAAGCUUCGAGACAAACCUGCAACGACGAAGAUCGUGAAUUGCAAUAAGGAGAACUGGUGAUGCCAUGUGUCCAUGUCGCAUACCGAUUGUGAUUCUUUUCCUUUUGAUGGACUAGUUCAACCAACGGCUAAAAGCCUAAAGCUUGCUUUUAGGAGAGCGUGUAUACCUCACUUUUAGUAGAGCUCCUUCUCAACGCUUAUAGCGCUCGCUGCAGCGCACAUGUGCUCGUGCAAAUGGGUCUUCCCAUUAAUUGGUAAAGCAGUUGCUCGCCCGACCGCCCACUACACUCCUUUUUUGCCGCCUUCUUUUCCUGGUAUUGCUCUAUAUAUUAUUCAAUGAAAGAAAACUUCCACCGGGUUUACAAAUUUAAAAAAAUCAUGAAUAUGAAAAGGUUCACAAAUGUGAAAAAAUACGGAUUUGAAAAUAUAAUUUAUUCAAAAACAUGGACAACUUCUAAAAAAUCACAAAUUCAUUUUUUGCGAAUUCGAAAAGGUGAAUUAAAAAAUUGUAAUUUCAAAAAACUCGCAAAUAUGAAAAAAUGUUCACAAAAUAAAGAGUUCAUGAAUUUAAAAAUAAUAAAAGAAUGCAAACAGAAAAGAGAAACAAGGCGGAAAAGUAAAAAAGAAAAACCAGGCAGAAAGUUUACAGAACCAAAGUUGACCCAUAAGCUUUUGGAAAAUUCCUAAAAACGGGAGGGAGCUUCCGCUCACGUAAACCCCAUAGAUUGGCCACCCCUUAUACGAUCUAUUGAAGGAAGAGGUGUAUGCGCUUUCUACCAAUAACUUAGACACUAGUGCUAAAUAGCAUAUUUCCACUUUUAGCGAGGGGUAGAACGAAAUUUGACUAUAAAGCCACGGCAUGGGCCAAUCGCAACAUUUUCUUUCUAACAAACAAGAUUUUUCUAUAGGGGCACACGUCUCACUCUAAUGAGCGUGUUUUUUUCAUUCUUAUUUUCACUUUUUUUUCUCAUUUUCUAGAAAACGUUCUAUAAAAUAUAUGGGUUUGUACUUUUGGUAAGUGAUCAUGUAGUUUAAUAAGUGUAAAUGUACUUAAAAAUGCUCAUCAUGUAUUUAUAAAACAUUUUCAAAAAAAUCAAACAUUUUUCAAAUACACAUAGAACUGAAAAGUGUUCAAAUAUUUUCCGAAAAUAUACACUGUGAACAUUUUGAACAAUAUAGGAUGAAGAUUUCUUUCAAUACAUGAUGAACCUUUCAAAUAACAAUAUUUUUCUAAAAUUGCACAAUGAUUUUUUUAAAUCCAUGAUAAUGUUUAAAUAUACAAUAUUAUUUUCAUACACGACGAACAUUUUGAAAAAACAUGAGUGAGCAUUGCCCAACUCCCAUGAGGGAGGGGCGAUGAUCGUGGUGCACUUUCGGCUUGGUCGAGUGAUUGUAGACAUCGCUAGGUGGUCUAUGGAACUGGAUGUAAGUUAUGUUACUUCAGGUGUUCUUAUACUGACAUGAUAGUUGAUAAAUAGAUCGAAAGUUUUUUUUUGUAAAAAAUAAAAGAAACAUUUCGAACUUGUCUUAAAAAUUGUUCCUGAGAUUUUGAAAAUAUAUUUGCCUUGUUCCAAAAAAUUACAUUUUCAUUUUUCACAUGUUUAGAAAAUUGUUCAUGGCAAUACUAAAAAUGUUUCAUUAUAAAAAAAGUUCUUACAUUUUUUAUAAAAAUGUUCAUAGUAUAUCAAAAAAUUUCAUCAUGUAUUUAUAAAACGUUCAAAUAUGUAUUGGAAAAAUAUUAUAUGUGUAUUUUUAAAAAUAUUUUGAAAAAAAAUCAGCAUGUAUUUGAAAUAUGGAAAAAUGAAAAAGAAAAUACAAAACAAAACAUGAAAUAAAUGAAGAAAAGUAAAAGGGGUAUGAAAAUGAAAAACCUAAAGAAACGCGAUAAAGAAACCAGAAGAAAAAACCCAAACAGAAUGUUUCAAAAAUCGCACGAAACGAACCAAUGCUACGCCUCCACCGCGACUGGGCCACAGCCCGCACACCAUUGCCAGAGGUGAGGGCCGCAUUUGCGCAAAAUGACCGCACACAUUGAACAAACUGUCAGCUAGCUAGUUAUUAGAAUGACAUGUAACUUUAUUCAAACUCAACAAAGUUACAGGUACAAUGCUUUGAUCAUGCAUACAAGAAAUUAUAAAAUAAUUCCUAUAACUAAGAAUUACGAUGCAACCCUCUUGAGUAAAAGUAUGACAAACGGAGGAAAAAAAUAUUAGCACAAUAUAAUCCUUGCUCUAUCCGAAUAUAUGGCGGUACAAAACUCAGCAACCCCGUUCGUUUUGGAGCUCCGGCUCCAUGAGGCCUUUUUUGGAAAAUCAGACAUGCAUAACUAAAACAUACGUGAUCUAACAUAUCUUAUAUUAGUUUACAGAGGGAGUACAUGCAUAAGUAAAACAUACGCAUGCAUGAGACUGGAGAAUGAGGGGCAUGCAUCGUCAAAAUAGGGUAGUUUGUCGGACAGUUAUAAGAUUUAAUAAUUUGGGGCAAUAAGCAUGAUAAAUCCUCAUUGGUAUCUAUAAUUUUGAAACUGUGCCCAGUAUACCGGGCCAGAGGGAGUGCUUGAGAAACACUUUUUACAAAAAGAAGGAUAACCCCUGAUCUAUGCAUAAGCAAUGCACACAGCCACUUUUAUUAUAUUAUUCAACAAAAUCUGACAAAACUAGUACAUGGACAACAUAAAGCCAUCUUCAUGGCAACCACUUGAGAAAACACUGAGUCCGUGAAAACUCGGUCGACGAAGCAGUCCAGGGAGCCUUGGGGCUUCCAACAGGUGGUGAAGCUCCCGCACAGGGUGUACGAUCGGGCCAAUUCCUUUCCAUUGUGAAUUGAACUGAAGUGAUUGCUUUUUUUUUACUUUGUAUUGCAAUUGCACUAACAUAAUUCUAAUGAUGGACGGUCACAUGGACGUGUGAGCACGGGAUUGACAAGCCAACUAACAUAAUUCUAUUACUACGAGGAUGCAACUAAUAGACUAAAAAUAUUGUUACUCACCCCCGCUGUCAUAACAAAGAGACACACACGCAAAAUCCAGCUGUGCUUAUUAACACCUCUACCUACCUAGGUUGCUUCAUUUGUAAUCAACUAAUCAACGAAUAUAACUCCAUUGACGUGUUAUGCAGUACUCUUUCACUUCAGCUAGCUAGCUGCAAUUCUAAUUAAUGCAGCCUCCAGAUCUGCUUUGUUUCACCAAGCCUAUAAAACCACACAAUAUGUAUCUCCAGUUCUCCACACAACACACACACACACACACACACACACACAAAACACAGCAGGUGCAACACUAGCUAGCUGUAAGCAUAAGAAGUAGGCAGCAAUGGCGAGGCAUCGCCUCCUCGUCGUGCUCCUCAUCGGGAUAGUUGCAGCCUCCGCCUUCAACCAAGCAGCUGCCGCUGGCCGAGGCCUUGCUGUCGUUGAGAAGUUUGCAGAGCUAGAGCCAAAGCCAGAGCCCAAACCAGAACCAAUUCCCAAGCUUACGCCACACCCAGAGCCAGAGCCUUGCAAACCUGAACCAAUGCCCAAACCCAAACCAAAACCCGAACAAAAGCCCGGACAGAAGCCCGAACCAGAACCCAAGCCCAAGCCAAUGCCAAAACCAAAGCCCGAGCCCUGCUCCAAACCAAAGCCAGAUCCUAAGCCCGAGCCGAUGCCGAAACCCGAACCAAAGCCGGAGCCCAAGCCUAAACCUGAACCGAAACCGAAGCCGCCUCCGAAGUGCAAAUCACCGGCAACACACAAUUGAUGGGAUAAUUAUAUAUGACACUUGACGAAGGAGACCUGGAAUGGAGCCACACUGUGUUAUUGUUAGAAUAAGUGGUGUAGUAUUCUCUGUAUUCACUUUCUUUUUAUUGUUCCAUGAGCGCGUGAUGAGUAUUAGAACUCUGUGAUUAUUAUUUUCUUGUUGCUAUAUGUUCAUCUACUUUGUAUGUGACCAGACUCGUUGUUCUUUUGAGUAUAAGUGCAUGAUUGUAUUCAUUCGCAUGAAUGAGCUAUGUUGUCCAGUGGGCUGCAGUCUAUUGUUGUUUUCUCUAUGGGGUGCAGUCGAUCUUUGUUAUUUUCUCUGUCGUAUUAUGUGGUCUUUUUUAGGGUGGGUGGGUGGGGGGGUAUACUCACACGCCAGGCAUCGGCCUUGUUCUCUACCCUCCACCUAUGAACUUAUGUCCCGAUUGAGUGUAUUCUGAGUUCUAAUCUUGCAGACCCUUCAUUUGUUUCAACGCCAGGCAUGUUGGCCCACCCCUGGACAUGACCGGAUCAUCUUGGGUGUUUUUUCUUCAAAAACAAAUUCAUUAAUGCAGAGUGCGUUGUCCAAUUAGAUGGUGGAUGAUGGAUUUCGAACCAACGUCCGUUGUUUCAACGCAGGGCAAGUGCAUUAUGAGGGUGGAUGCAUGUUAUAUUGUCUAACAACAUUCAAGUUUAAUUAUCUGUUACUAAAAAAUAAAUGAAAGAACAUGCGGUGCCCCCAUGUUUGGUUUUGGUAAUUGAUGACAAUCUCUAUGGACUAAUGGUUGCCUUGAGUUAUAUUUGAAGGAUUUGUCCAUAGGCAUUUCUUGAAGUCCAUGUGUUGGUUUCAAGGAGUUUAUGUGGUGACCAAGGUGUUAUUAAGGAAUUAUCCAAAGAUUGGUCAUGUGAGAGUUGAGCUUAUUGCAAGCAUGUCUUGAAGAAGAAGAUUGUGUGAUCAUUAAUGUUUACCUUCAAGACAUCAUCCAAAUGAAGAGAGUUGGAAAGAGUCAAGGUUGAUUAAGACUAAGUCAAGAGUGAAUCAAGUUGAUCAACACACAAAGCGCACAGGAUGUACCGAGGGAUCAAGCGAUCCCAUGGUAUGGUAAGCAUUGUCAAGUACGCUUUGUGUACUAACCCAUGGUCUUCGUGAGAGUUCUUUGUGGGGUUAGGUUGCGGUGUGCAAGUUCAAGUGAAGCGGGCAAGUUCAAGUAAAGCAUCACGAAGAGAUCAAAUGCUUGAAGCCAUUGUGGUGACAAUGGACUUGUGAAGACGUGCGGAAGGGUGGCUCACCCAUAGUGGAGUAUGGGGGAGCAAUCAACUAGUCUUCAUCGAGCCAACGCAAUUAAGAAAGGUGGUCCAUCUUGAGGGAGUCAAGAUCGUCAUCAUCUAGCUCAAGUGGACCAUGUGCAAGGCAAAGGUUUGCUCUUGAUAGGUUUUCUAUUUUACCGGUCUCGUGAUGGUAGUUGGGAGACCGGGUUAUAGGAUCGAUUGCCGUACUAUCAAGGGGGGCUGUCGAUGAGUAGCUUGAUCGUAUCGUUCAUAGAGAGCUCAAACCAUUGCAUCCUUACAUCAUCUUUGUUGGUUCUUGUUUGGUUCUUCUCUUUGUGAGUUUUGGAGCUUAUGGUCAUCUUGAUGACAAGCUCGAGUUCAUCGAAAACGGAGUUCACUCGCAUCUUCUAUGAUGUUUUCGAUGUUGGAGGUUAUGCCGGUUCUUCUCGGUUGGAGGUUUCACUCCUCUAUUUGUUGGCAUACCUCCCCUGCCUCUUCUUACUAUAACCAGUCGCUGUUUUGAUGCUACUCGUCGUCUUGUAUCCAACAAGCUUGAGUUUCCUCAAUUCGGAGCUCAUAUGAAGAAGUUUUGGCAGUUCUGUUUUUCUCCCUGCGGUAGUACCGCUUGUAGCGUCAAGCGGUAGUACCGCUCAAGUACCGCUCCAGUACCGCUCUACUACCACCUCGAUUUUGGGUCUGCUCUUUUCGUGUUGGGUUCAGCGGUAGUCGCGCGACAGUAAGGCACGGUAGUUCCGCCUAUAAGCGGUAGUACCGCUCCGAUCGAGCGGUAGUACCGCUACUGCACUACUGCCACCGUUCUCUACUCUGUCCUGCCUUCUUUUGUCCCGUGUUCUGCUCCUCCAGCGGUAGUACCGCUGGGGUGAGCGGUAGUACCGCUUAUCGGCGGUACUACCGUCCCAAGGUUCUUGUUUUGUUGCUCCUUUUCUCUGCUUCUUCCACCCGAGCGGUAGUACCGCUCGUGUGCGGGCUGAGCACUUAACGGUUGGAUUUUCCCCUUCCUAUAAAAGGGGGUCUUCUUCCCCAAUGAACCUUAUCCUUUGAGCUCGUGUUCUUUCCCCAUUGUUGACCUUCUUCGAGCUUGCUAACUCUCAAUCCCUCCAUGGAUUCUUGCUAGUUUUUGAGGGAAAAGAGAGAGGAGAUCUAGAUCCACAUUUCCACCAAUCACUUUCUCCUCUAUGUAAGGGGAACCCCUUGGAUCUAGAUCUUGGAGUUUUUGGUGUUCUCCUUCUUGUUCUUCCUCUCAUUUUCCUCCCUAGCAUUAGUUGCUUCGGUGGGAUUUGAGAGAGAAGGACUUGGGCACUCCGUGUGCCCUUGCCAUUGCAUUUGGUGCAUCGGUUUGAGUUCUCCAUGGUGAUACGUGGAAGUUACAAGUUGAGAAGCUUAUUACUCUUGGGUGCUUGGUACCCUUGAGCUUAUUCCUCUUGGGUGCUUGGGCGCCCUAGACGGUUGGUGGUGUUCGGAGCUCAAUCAUUGCGGUGCAAAGCUCCGGGCAAGCGUCGGGGUCUUCAAUUAGGUUGUGGAGAUCGCCCCGAGCAAUUUGACGGGUACCGGUGACCGCCCCCAAGGGUUGCCAAAGUGUACGGGUUCGGUGACCGCCCCCAAGGGUUGCCAUUUGUACGGGUUCGGUGACCGCCCUCAAGGGUCCCUUAGUGGAAUCACGGCAUCUUGCAUUGUGCGAGGGCGUGAGGAAAUUACGGUGGCCCUAGUGGCUUCUUGGGGAGCAUUGUGCCUCCACACCGCUCCAAACGGAGAUUAGCAUCCGCAAUGGUGUGAACUUCGGAAUACAUCGUCGUCUCCGCGUGCCUCGGUUAUCUCUUACCCGAGCUCUUUACUUAUGCAAGCCAUAUUGUUUCUUGUCAUAUAUCUUGUUGUCACCUAGUAGUUUGUCUUGCUUAGCAUAAGUUGUUGGUGCACAUAGGUGAGCCUAGUUGUUGUAGGUUUUGUGCUUGACAAAUUAACCGCUAGGUUUAUUCCGCAUUUGUUCAAGACUAAACCGUAAUUAUUUUAAAACGCCUAUUCACCCCCCCCCCCCUCUAGGCGACAUCCACGAUCUUUCAAUAAAUAAUUGAAAUACUGAGGUGGAGAGCUUGCAUGUGUUUCAUGAUGUGGAGGGCUUGCAUAUGGUGAAAAGUGAAAAGUUGAUUGGUUGCAUCUACUUGAUUUUUUUAACAUGGUACAGACGCAAGCGCUCAUAAAUGAACGCACACAUGCAUGCACACCCUACCCCUAGCAUCUCCGAGAGACUGAGCUGCCAUAUCAUCUUGAGAUUUUAUGAAGUCACCGUAGGCGCCUCGUAGUCGAGGGGAACAUCUCCUCCCACUGGAUGCGCAUCGCCGGUAAUCCUGAAAUAAAUCCGGACUUGAACCCUGGUGGACUGGGGAUACCACUGUCCUUCUAACUAUACAAUCACAGGUUGGUUCGGGGUUGCAUUUACCUGAUGACGUGAUUGACUUGCAUGUGCAUUAGUGAGACGACUUAUUUUGAUAUCGAGGAUAUAUGUGAAGAUAGUUACACCCUGUUGGCCGAGAUUACCAAGUAAAGGCACCAUGAAAAUUAUUUUAACAGAUUUUUCUUACUCAUAGUGAUUAUUUUUUUUAAAUGAUGACUUAUAUGAACAAUGAUCAUAUCCUUUACAAUAGAGGGGAUAAAGAAAUCAGGUGGCUUGUCAUGCCACACCAGCGAUUCACGCCCAAACAUUAACUUCUCUCACACAAUGAGAUAUAGUCACCUUGUCGAAAGCCUUAUCAACCUCAUGCAAUCAUCAUUUGUAACCGCUCCGGACGCUUGAUUCUUGGAAAAAUUCUGAAUAACUCGAACAAUUUCCAUAGAGUCACUUUCAGUUGCGAUAGAAAAGAUUCCCAGCUCCUCUACCAAGCGUAAGCCCAACAGGAGCGCAAGAGCUUCCAUUGACGGUGCAUCAAGCUAUGUUGCUUGAAUUCACACGUAGACUAUAUGAAACUCCCUAUAUGAUCUCUUAGGAUUGCCCCCCUCUCCCCUGCUCCCGAGUCCAUAUGAUAAGACGCAUUGAUGAUGUUCAAUUUUAUGCAUCCAGCAGCAGGUCGACUCCAACUCUUUGCACACUCAGGCAUUAGCUUCUUCUCGGGCAAACAAUGUUCAUCAUGAAUUUAAAAAAUGUUCGAACAUGUAUAAAAAUAUAUUCAAUGUGUAUUUGGAAACAGUUAAAAUUUAUUUGAAAAGGUUCAACAUUUAUGCAUUUUUCUAUUUCCUCAUUUUGUAACGUUCAAAAAUAAUGUUCACGAACUUUAAAAAGGUUUAAAAGCGUGUGAAUCCAUGUUUUUUUUAAAUUCAUGAACAUUAUUUUAAUGCAUGAGUUAUAUAAUCUAUAAAAAUAUGAAGUUGGUUUUAUUCCGAAACAAAGUACCUACUGGUUUUUAGCUGGCCAGCCGGUGAGCUAGAGAAGUGGCCGAGGAGAGCGAGUGCCCCAAUAGGUGUACGUUCCACGCCAGCGCGGUAGUGCUUGGCGACGCCUGAAGAACCAGAUAGGAGCUCCCCGUGAAAUGAUCAAAGGCCUUGAGAUGGAUAUUUUCCUGGGCCGCCUCCUAUUGAACUUCACUCUUUCCUUUGAAAGACAAAAGCACCCAUAAGAUGGUCAGCUAUUUUUAUUUUUAUUUUGCGGAAAAAAAAAAGAAAACUGCAUGAUGAACUAGAAGUACAAAACUAUGUGCUAGUUUCAAGUAUGUGAUGCUUGUUAUCUAGAAGUACAAAACUACCAUUCUCUCUAGUUGUUGUAUAUAUUCCUACAUCUAUAGGGUUUUUUAAGAAGAAAAAUAUACUUUUUUUAGAAUAAAAAAUAGGAAUAUGUUGGUACCAAGACGAUAUCAAUUACACCCCGGCAUCUGCAAAAGCACAACGUCAAGAGUUAUUCAAGAAAUUGAAGCUGCACACAACGUAAUUAUUUUUUAAAUAGAGAAAGGAAAAACAAUAACAAUAAUUACCAUUGUUAUGGUGAUUGGCGAUUUUAUGAGCCGUCCAUCCACCCUGAUCUAAUGAUGGGGAAAUAGGAGUUACGUGGAGUUACAAAACUAAAAUUACAGAAAAUUACCCACCGUUACAAAAUUGUAUUGGGACCGGUUGAUUUUUCCAAGGGUAAAUCCGUCACACGAUAGCUCGCGGUGCCCACAUCGAACCCACGUAUCUACCUAGCCGGCCACUCCGCCGCGGGGAUUAGGGAUCGCCACCGCAUGGCUCAGCCAUGGCCACGUCGCCGCCGUCCACCUCCGCCAUGGCCGGCCUAGCGCCGCCGUCCACGUGCGCCAUGACCGGCCUAGCGCCUCUGUCCACCUCCUCCGUGGCUGCCAUAGCGCCGCUGUCCACCUCCCCCAUGUCUGCCUCAGCGCCGCCGCCUGCCUCCACCGUGCUCAGCCCAGUGCCGUUGUUUACCUCGACCAUGGCCCCCAGCAGCUCUUCCCAUCACCAAUCCAUCCCCCUAUCCCACCAUUCCCAUCGCCAGCAAGGUCCGCCAGAAGAGGCCGACAUGAAUCCCCAAGAUCAAGAUCCAAGAGGACUAGAUGAUUGCAGCGUUAGAGAAGAAUUUGUAACAAUCUACAAUAAGGUAAACCCCCUCUUCCAAUUAGCAUAAAAGCUCCAAGUUCUCCCCUUUGUUCUCCAAUUAGCAUAUUCUCUGGAUGGUCUGCAGGUUCGAGUAGGAACACGAACACAUCAAUGAGGUCUUGUUUCAUUAGGAUGACAGAACACAUAAUCUGUACAAAUAGGAUGCAGUAUUUUCAUUUGCUGAGUUAAUGAAUAAGGUUUAGUUCAUGUUAUAGCAGAAUGGCAUGAAUCAUGAUACUGAUGUGCUUCCGUGGCAAACAUAAUUCUACAAAACUACAUAUGUGUACUAGAUAACAGGAGAUACAAGAGGAAUAUUACAAGUGUUGAAAAUUAACAGUAACUAGUAGGCUACAGAGUUUAUGUCACUAAAUUCAUAAUUGCAGAUCUAGCAUAAAAAUGAUUAGUAUAAGAAGUAAUAUUUUCUUCUCUUCAUGUACUCAAAAUGUAAAAGAAGUUAUCACUAGAAUUAUCCGAAGAAAAAAUAUUCUAAAUCAAAAGGAAAUGGUUGAGUCUCCAAGGAAAUAAGUGGUUAAAAGACAAGGAAAUCAUGUAGGUCGUAAUCUACAUUUCAAGUCAUACCUAGAAAUUAAGCAGUAGAACUGACUGAUUGGAAUCCUCUGAAACUAAAUACACCCAGUUUGCUAGACACAUUUAACCUGCUCACUUCAUUCUGCUUACAUUACUUCAUCUCCUCUGGUCUCUGCAUACUUUCCGAUGAAUUUCUAAAGCGGUCAGUACUGAAGUUGAUCUACUAUGAAGAUUUUAUAUUUAUGUCUCAAAAUUUCUGGUGCCUCUCGCUUCAUAAGAAAAGAUUAAAUCUCUCAUAUAUUACGUGUUUAUCUGGAAGCCGCUCCAUUCUUUGUUAUAUACUUCUGUUUAACCCAGUAUCACAUUAUAUAUGUACCGCUACUACUGUUUUCUAAAUGCAUUUACUUCGGCGUUCACAGAGUCUUUUGAGUAUGCUUUUAUUUCUGGAGGACGCAUCCUGAGUGACUACUUAGUAAGUUUUUCUUUUGUUUUUCACGGAAUUGAUUACCACAAUUAAUCUCAUAAUUUCUGUGUUUUUUAUUUUGCAGACCUAGACAGAUACGAACGCACAUCAUUAGAGCCUAGGGAGAAGAUCAAGGUAUAUGUGAUAAUUUAUAUUCCCUAGGAAAAUAUACAAUGGGGCUCGAGUCAACAUAUCCUUACCUGGGAAGAUAUUUGGCGGAAGCUCCUAGCUGUGAGAUAUCUGUAACACUUGUGUCGCCUUAUAUUGAAUAUUUUCAGUCGACCGAACGUUUCAAAGAUUUCACUAGUUGGUUUGCUGAAUCUGGAAAUGAUAUUUAGUUCUGAUUGAUGAUAGGUUGGCAUAUAUCUGUUUGUGUAUCCGUCCACUUAUUUUGCUUUUUUUAGGGCUACACUUGGUUUGCUAUAGAAAUUAGCUAAUUAUUCCUGUUGAGAAUUUGAUCACCUUUUCUCCAUUGAUCAAGUAUCUUCUCGUGGAGGUGUGGAUGAAGGACCCCUCCAAUGUGCAAAAAAUUGGCACAUGGAGCUGCCGGAGCCAGACGGCCCAGCCCCAUCGCCGACAGAAAAGCGCAGGAUGGUGCAUGGCGUCAUCAUCUAUGUUGGAUCAGUGGAGGAUCACAGCACCACGUUGAUAUGGAAAGAGAUGAUUUGGCGAAGAAAAGACCCAUCUACUUUGCAAUUACUAUACUUUGUCUAUAAGAAGUUACUGUACAUAUGCAUUUCCCUAUCAGUAUUCUGCAGCUAAACGAGGAAACUUGGUAUGUAUGAUUUGUCAUGAGUUGGAACCAGCAAGUGCUUCUUCCAUCUGUUCUUCAAUCUGUAGUCCAUAUUUUUUGCUUAUAACUAUACAUCAGUUCCUAGUUUAGACAGAGGCUGAACUUCUUGUUUCAAAACUUGGAGAACACUUGUGAUGCAGUGGCAACCCGCAGGGCAUAAACAAUCUACAUUAUAAUGUCACUGAAGGAAAUCACCUAAAAUAGAUACUACAACUCAAAGUUGUAUUAUCGACACUUAUGGGCCUGAACAACUAAGACUGAUACUUGUAAGCCUAUGAGCUCGAAAGAGUGAGGUCCAUACUUGUGAGCCCGAACGCCUCAGAGCUAUACUCCCUCCGUUUCUUUUUACUCCGCAUAUAAAGUUUGGUCAAAGUCAAACUACACGAAGUUUGACCAAAUUUAUAUCAAAAAAUAUAAACAUCUACAAUACUAAAACUAUGUAGUAUGAAAAUACAUUUCAUGAUGCAUCUGAUAAUAUUGACUUCAGAUUGUGGAUGUUGAUAUUUUUUAAUAUAAAGUUAGUCAAACUUUACAAAGCUUGACUUUGACCAAACUUUAUAUGCAGACUAAAAAGAAACGGAGGGAGUACUUGUGAGUCCGGACGACUAAGAGCAGUACUUUUAACCUCGAACAACUACGAUCGGUAGUUGUGAGCUCAGACGACUCAGAGAGUCGUACUUUUGACCUAGGACGACUCACGGUUAUUCGUAGUUGUGCGUGUGGGCCCUGACGACCCAUAGUGAUUUCUAGUGGUAUUUGUUGCUAAGUGUUAUUGAGAGUGACUAGUAGUGGUAUUGGUGGCCUGGAUACCGUAGAGGGGUAUGGGAUGGUAUUGGUGGCCCGGGCGAGCCAUAGUCGUACUUAUGGGCACACAACUAGCACUAUGGGUCGUUCGAUCCCACUACUAGCACUAUGGGUCAUUCGACCCCACUAGUAGCACCAUAUGGUUCGACUGAACCUAGAACUACAAUUAUGGGUCGUCCGAGUCAACAAACGCCACUAUGGGUCGUCCGAACCUAGAACUGCAAGUAUGGGCCAUCUGGGUCCACAAGCACCACUAGGGGUGGUCCGGUCCCACAAAUAAUGCUAUGGGUCGUCCAAUCCUACUACUAGCAUUAUGAGUCGUCUGAACCCAUAACUACCAGCAUGGGUUGUCCGGACCCACAAGUAGCAUUACCGGUCAUCCAGAUCGGUACUUGUGGACCUUGGUGAAGAUGAUUGAUACUAAUGAGCCCGAACGAGUAAGAUCGUUACUAGUGAGCCCGAACAAGUAAAUUCGGUACUUGUAGGCUCGGACUGCUAAGAUGGAUACUUGGCCCGAACCACUAAGAGAGAUACUUUGGGUCUGAAUGACUAAGAUCUGUUCUUGUGGAUCCAGACGACUAAGAUCGGUACUUAUGGACCCGGGUGAGUAAGAUCGAUACUAGUGAGCCCGAAUGAGAAAGAUCGGUACUAGUGAGCCUGAACGAGUAAGAUCGGUGCUUGUAGGCUCGGACUAAUAAGAUCAAUACUUGUGGGCCCGAACCACUAAGAGCGAUACUUAUGGGUCCUUUUAUGUUUGGUACUAGUGAGCCCGAACGAGUAUGAUCAUUCUUCACGCAGAGAGAACUUAAGAACGAGGAUGAUGUUGAAUGGUUUAUUAGUAGGCUUUAAGUUUUUGUUAGUAGGCUUUGAAUUUUUAUCUUCCAUCUUCGCGCGGGUCAGGAUGGAAGGUAUCCUUAGUGACAUUCACUUCAAGUUUUGUUCUCCAAAGGAUGGAAUGAUGUGAGAAUCUUUUUUAUCUAUGUUUCAAGUCGUCAUAUUAUAAUUUCCAAUAUGUCUCGAGUUCAACCUUCUCUCGAACUGAACCACUUUGUGAAUACUGGUUUUCCCUUCAAAUUUCCACUUAAAACACUGUUGCCUGCACAAACAUAUCAUUCACACUAAACUGGAACAUGCGUGUCUCCAACAGUGCUUUUACAUUAAACUGUACUUUUUCCUGAUAUGACAGUGUUAGCUUUAGUAAACUAUAGGUUGGAAGUGUGACAGUAUUUUAGUAAAACUUCUACUGAUGAUCGUCACCCAUUAACUCCACCUCCAGAUCCCAUGCCAAGAAAACUGCACAGAGGUGAAGGCUGGUGAAAAACGAGACAUGAAGCCUUUUUUUUCCGAUAAAGGGCGAUUUUAUUAUCUCAAAUGUAGCAUCAAGCGGAUACAAAACAUUAUGAGAAACACCCGGCCGCCUCCGCAUAACUAGAAUGCACACGGCCCAAUAUGAAGGUCUGACAAACAUUGAUGAAAAAAAAACCGACAAAUCGGCAACAGUAGAGCCCUUUUUGUCAGCUAAGUUUAAGUUGAUUCAGACAACGCUCGCAACAAAGGGAGAGGAUGAACAAUGAUUGCACUAUGUACCCUUUUUCAUUCAUGGACAUGAUAUGAGAGCAAUGCGGGUAUUCAUGGCCCCCAUUUUUUUCCUAGCUUUUAGACUGCACAGAGAAGUAAAAUUGUGCCAAGAACUACUGAUCAUUGUUGUCUGAAAACACGGGAGAAGAGAUCAGAGUUCAGAGAACAUCGUCAUCACCUGCAAAGGACAGAGGAUAAUUAGGAUCGAUUGACUAUAUCUUCCUGCAUACAACAUACGAAUAAAUAAUUGGUGUGAAUCAUGUGGCAGAUGAAAAAUCAACUCUUUUAUGUUGAAUUUCAAUCAUGUCGAUGCUAAAGUGUAACAUCAAAGCUAGUCGGUUCCCAGAAUUGGCCUCGGUCAAACAAGUAAAAUCUGGUAGAAAAGACAAUGAAUCAAAUAAUAGCGAACCCAUGCAAAACUAAGAAAAUUAUUGAGAAAAGCUGAACCCAUUACCCAUUUUUGUUCUAACAAGGAAAAUUAUGUCACUAAGAAAAUCAAUAAGGAGUCUAGCUAUUGCAGUGUCCUGCUAUGUAGCAUGCAAUCAACCAUUGAAGUUUUCAUCGAAACAGGUCACAUUCUUAAGCUGAUUGGAAGUAAUGAUCCUGAGAGGUCGAAUCCUAAAGGUCGGAAAUAGUGAUCAAUGAGGUGCUACAUGUCGGAAAUAUAGUACACUUCUUGCUUUUCACUCAUCCUACAGACCAGAAAUAAUGAUCAAUGAGAUGCUAGCUGCAGGAAAGUUUGUCACAACAUGAUAUUGACGGUAAUAUCGUAAUAAACUAUAAUUGGCAUGAACUCUGGGUGAUCCACACAGCUAUAGUAAGUUAGGUAGUAACCAAUUUAUUAUAGUUGCAGCGAGCACAAAGAGAAGCUUGUCCAACAUCGUCUGAGAUGGUUUGGGCAUAUUCAGCGCAGGCCUCCAGAAGCUCCAGUGCAUAGUGGACGGCUAAAGCGUGCGGAGAAUGUCAAGAGAGGGCGGGGUAGACCGAAUUUGACAUGGGAGGAGUCCGUUAAGAGAGACCUGAAGGAUUAGAGUAUCACCAAAGAGCUAGCAUUGGACAGGGGUGCGUGGAAGCUUGCUAUCCAUGUCCUAGAGCCAUGAGUUGGUUGCGAGAUCUUAUGGGUUUCACCUCUAGCCUACCCCAACUUGUUUGGGACUAAAGGCUUUGUUGUUGUUGUUGUAAGAGAAAAACAACUGGUUAUCAAUAACAGUGGCGGAUCUUAUAGAAUCUAUGCUUAGAAGCCAACUCUUGCAUGCUCUAACAGAUAAAUAGCAAAAUAAGGAAUUUCAUAAACAACAAAAAGCAUUAGAGACCGCUCGAUUAAACAUACAAAAGUCAAUGGUUAAUUAGUAUGUCAGGAAAUUAGGAUGACCGGACAUAUCUUGGAGAAUAUACUUGGUAAAUUAUGCAAUGCCUGUAUGGUAAAAAAUGUGGUUAGGACUAUGAGGGAAACAAUUUAGUGCACUUGUCUUUUUUGUCUAACAAUGUUCUUAUUUGUGCAAUAGCCCUAUCCAGAAACAAUGAGAUCCUUUUCUAGUUUUAUGGUAUUAAUAGUUGCUAGAUCAAAUAUAGUAGUUAAAUAUUCUUGAAAAUUCCUUAUGUUAGAGUGGAACCCUUGGAAAGUUAGUACUCAUGAGCUAGAUGAAGGGGAAGAAACUAAAGGAUUAACUGGGCAGAUAAGAGAUAAAUUGUGCAUAUAUUUCUAGUCAGUUGCGGGGAGGUCCAGAUCCAGUUGCUCCCAACCUCAUGAAGCUAACAAAAUGUUGCAGUCUCUGACCAAUGCCUCAUAUCUCUUGAUUAGUUGGGAUCUGCAGAUAGUAUUGAUAUGAUAACGGCAGAUGCAAGCAAUAUAAUUUCUUUACUACAAACAGAAGCGCAAUACCUUUUUUCGAUAAAGGGUGGAUUUUAUUACUCAAAACUAAGCAUCAAGAGGAUACAAACAUAGUGAGCACACACCCGGCCUCUGCAUAGCUAAGAUGCGCACAGCCAACACCAAUGCACACACAAAAACCGCCGGCAAGUAGCAAAGUCAUAUAAGACCAAAGCUAUGCCUAAGCGAGGAAAAAGAAAAACGCCCUGAAGCGGUCAAAAUCACGAUCGACAAACUACAACAAUGACCAUAUCCGCACCAACCAUCUCAUAACACCACAAGGACAAUGAUGUUCGUCAACAGCAACGCCUUCAAGAAGGGAGCGACGCUCGAGUGCCGCCGUCACUGGAACCAACCACCAAAGGCCAGUGUCUAGGUUUUCACCCUGAAGAAACAGUCCGAGCAUAUCCGAGCAAUGCCUUCAAUAAGGUAAUGAUGACAGAACAUCGUCAUUGCCAGGUAUAACCGUCAAGGGCCAGACCUAGGUUUUCACCCUGGAGCUUGAGACCAGGUACUCAAAAAGCAACACCAUCGGACUCAAGCAUGUGUUGUAUCCACCACUUUUCCGCAAUUCUAGCAGCUGCAUGUGCUGGGUUUGAAAACCGAUAGCAACCGAUGCGCAACCAUACCCUCUGCGUCAAGUCAUCAUCCAUAGAUUGCAUAUCACCGCCAAAGCGACCACUGGAUCUUGAAGAGUAUCACUCGCAAAGACCCUUUAGUGUCCAUCGCAAUCCGCCGUGAGGCCGCUGCCACGCUGGUGAGUUCAUCCUGUCUUGCCGCGAUCCGCACCCGCCGUGCCAAAAGCCUUGCGGAAGAGCAGCGGAGAAUCCUGAUCCAGUUGAGGACGCUAGGGCCUCGCGCCGCCAUCCCCAUGGCCAGAUGCGCUUAAGCUAGACCACGUCGACGACUCAAUGCAGUAGGCGCCCUACAUGCAACAGCCAAAGAUAUGAGCCCGGUCGCAUCUUUGUUAGGCGGUACCAGCUGCGAUGGAGGACUCUGAUCUUGAAACAGUUUGCAUCCAAGAUUCAGCCAAAGCAAGCCAGCCACGAUGGAGGAUCGUGAAACAAUCAGCAUCCAAGACGGCAAGUCAGCCCUGCGCCACCGGCACAGAACCGGGCCACCCUGCCACCAGGAGCCUAAACGGAUCAAUGUACAAGAGAAGACCAAACUGGCAAUAGCAGCUGGAGUUAUGUUGGAGACGGAGCAGUAAGGUCAUUCCAUGCUCAGGGCGUCCAAAAAAAAUGCUCAGGGCGUCUCCUUCCACCCCACCCUUGCCGUUGUACUCCACCAUGCUCCUCCACGUCCCCGAGGAUCCUGCACCGGGCGGCAUGCACGGCAGUGGAUGCAGCCUCGGUGCCUUCACCGUGGACCCGCUCACGCCGUUUCACGAUUCAUGAGGGACCUGGCGGGAGCGGGAGCGGAGAUUAAUCCGAGGGCCAAGGAGGAGACCUUCUGGGGAAGGGGCGCUGAUGGCGGGAGAAGCUGGAAGUCAUGGUCGGAGCCACUGGCAGGCGAAGUGGCGGCGGCCGCCGGCGGCUCUAGGGUUAGCAUCGCCCGCGAAAGAGGGAUGGACUCUGCGUGCCUCUGUCUUGGGCCUUGCUUGGCCUGGGCACGCUCGAUGCUUCAACGCGGGACAGAUAGGACCAUUAUACCCUUAUUAUUAAAAAAAAUACUUUAAGUGAGUUUUUCAGAUCUAACGGACAGAAAAUCUUGAGAUGAAGUUACGUGAAAUUACGAGGCGUAACUCGCCAAUCACCCUAAAAGAGCUCAACGAUAAUACACGCCGAGGGGCCACAACAAGCAGUCCCUUAUAUCAUAUCAUGCCUACCCACUAAACUCCUUUGAUACCAGCAAGAAGCGCAUAUCCGCAUAAAUGUGAUCACAUAUCACCAUAAAGCUCAUUGCCAUGAUAUUGGAAAUUUUGUUGUUCCUUUCACUCCAAAUGCGACAACCAACAAUAAAUCAAUCAUAGCGAUCAAGAAGAAGGGGAAUGAUUCUUGUUUUUUUUAUCUAUGUUUGUAGAGUGUACAACUUUAUGUUUAUGAUGUAUUGGGUUUUUUUCCUGUCUUAUUAAUGAAUGAAAGGCGCGCUAGAGAUGGCUGUGUCAACGCAGAGGCCAGGGUUUUCACCACCUUCAAAAAAGCAAGAAAGAAGGCAAUGCUGCUGCAUUUAGCUUAAAUUUACUAGAUCUGUUGGUUGGGUCGAUGAGGUACGUAGAAAUUAGUAAAAGGGACAUGUCAGGUUGACACGCAAAAGAAAAAGAAAAAGAAAAGCGUGAGCAGGGUGUAACGUACGGCACUCCAACCAUGCUAAUCGACUGAGAACAUACGCCGGACUGGAAUCCAUGCCCUACUGCUACAAUCAAAAUAAUUAGCGAGGGAGUGAUGGGUAGAAAAGUCCAUGGUGCAUGCAUGCUAUGGCAAACAGAUGGGGGGCCAUUUUCGUGUGCACCACUACGUCCUUAUGACAAGAGGGUACCUGUAGCUAGAGCUGGCUCGCCCUACUUACGUUACUCCACUACCGUCUUUGUCAUAUGUACUAUGUAUGCAAUGUCGGUCUGUACCUACCGGAAACUGCUCAGCACGCCACACAACAAUACAAUACAUACAGAUCACAUAUAUAGGAGUACAUCUUAGGUAUGGGUGCCCCUACAUAGACGUGUGGUGUGGCGUGAGCAAGGGACAAGGCAACUAACAGAUUUUCCCAUUUGCAACAGGGUGCAACUAAUAGAGUUGAAAUAUUGUUACCGGAUAUGUUGCUGUGCCGAUCCGCACACCCACCGGCGGCACUGGUUUACAGGGAUUGUGGCACACGCGUCCGGAUCUGAUUGGCUCCUCCGCCCUAUUAAACCACACCGUAUGUAUCUCCACUUCUCCACACAGAGCACACCCAUCCACCAUCCAUCCACGCUAGAAGCAGCGGCGAACAAGUGCACCCCUAGCUGCGAGCACAAGGAGCAGGCAGCAAUGGCGAGGCGUCGCCUCCUUGCCGUGCUUAUGCUCCUCGUCGUGGUAGUGGCAGCCUCCACUUUCCACCAAGCGGCCGCCGCUGGCCGAGGCCUUGCUGCCGUCGAGAAGUUUGCGGACCUGGAGCCAAAGCCAAAACCUAAACCAGAGCCAAUGCCCAAACAAAUGCCCAAGCCAGAACCCAAGCCGAUGCCUAAACCUGAACCGAAGCCAGAGCCCAAGCCCAAGCCAAUGCCCAAACCUGAACCAAAGCCAGAGCCCAAGCAUAAACCAAUGCCUAAGCCAGAGCCCAAGCCGGAACCUAUGCCUAAGCCGGAGCCCAAGCCUAAACCUGACCCGAAACCAGAGCCACCACCGAAGCACAAGCCGCCAACAGCUUACAAUUGAUGGGAUGCUAUAUAUGAAAACUGAAGGAUCGAGGAGAUCAUGGCCGGAGCCACAAUCACGAUAUUUCUAGAAUAAGUGGUGUAGUAACAAUGUCAUUCUAUCCGGCUAGCUCCAUAGUGAUGCAUCUUUCUGUAUUCUAUGUAUUUCGUUACAUUUACAAAGUUUCUGUUCCAUGCACCCAUGAUGAGUAUUACUACUUUGUAAUUGUUAAUUUGCUUGUUGGUGUACGUUCAGUUUUGUACGUGACUCGUUGUUCUAUUUGUGUAUCUAUAUGCAUGAUUCUAUUCAUUCGCAUGAAUGAGUUAUUUUGUCCAGAG